rnacentral:rRNA from 1 species
UACGUAGGGGGCAAGCGUUGUCCGGAUUUAUUGGGCGUAAAGAGCGUGUAGGCGGCUUUACAGGUCCGUUGUGAAAACUCGAGCUCAACCUCGAGACGCCGAUGGAAACCAUCUAACUAGAGUCCGGAAGAGGAGAGUGGAAUUCCUGGUGUAGCGGUGAAAUGCGCAGAUAUACAGGAAGAACACCCGUGGCUAAGGCGGCUCUCUAGUACGUGACUGACGCUGAGACGCGAAAGCGUGGGGAGCGAACAGG